rnacentral:ncRNA from 1 species
UGUUGUUUAACUAUGGCAAAAGAAAGUAUUAGUGCUAUAAUUGCAUAAAAAGUUUUUAUUGUAGUUUCAAAUAUUAAUAGUUUGAGUUUUAUUAGCAGUUAGUUUUUUAUUAGAGUUUACGCUUUUUAAGAUAGUACUAAAUAAAGGGGAUAGGACACAGUGCCAGCAUCCGCGGUUAGUCUGUUUUCUUUGCUUUUAUAUGGCUGGUCAACAAUUGUUAAUACCUAAGGUUAGGUGAAAUUUUCUUAGUUUAAUAUUAUACUUUUGUGUAAAAGUAAGUAGCGGUUUAUGACAGGGAUUAGAUACCCCAUUAAUGUGCUAAUUUAUUACAGUCUAGUUUUAUAACUAAAAUAGUUUGGCAGCGAGUUAUUCCUACUGGGGGAAGGUGUGUUAUAAAGGACGAUCCGCCUAUUAAUUUACUUCGAUUAUGUUGGUGUAUAUCUGGUUUGACAUUACUGCUGUAUAGCGUAAAUUUGUGUAGAUAUAUUUAAGCCAAGUCUAUGUGCUGCGUAUCAAAGUUUUUCAUGCGUUACAUUUAUAAAAGAUAGUUUGUAAUAACUAUAAUUAAGGACUCAGAAGUAAUAGUGAAUAAGUUUGUCGCUAUGAAAAGGGUUUAACUCGGGUACACACCGCCCGUCACCCUCGAUUUCUGUUGAGGUAAGUCGUAACAUGGUAACCUUAAAUGAAUUUGAGGUUAAUUAGCUUAGCUAGAUUUUCUCUAUCGAGCUUAUA